AUGAGUAACGCGUGAGAAUCUGCCCUCAGGAGGGGGAUAACGACUGGAAACGGUCGCUAAUACCCCAUAUGCCGAGAGGUGAAAUGAAUUUCGCCUGAGGAUGAGCUCGCGUCUGAUUAGCUAGUUGGUGGGGUAAAGGCCUACCAAGGCGACGAUCAGUAGCUGGUCUGAGAGGAUGAUCAGCCACACUGGGACUGAGACACGGCCCAGACUCCUACGGGAGGCAGCAGUGGGGAAUUUUCCGCAAUGGGCGAAAGCCUGACGGAGCAACGCCGCGUGAGGGAUGAAGGCCUCUGGGCUGUAAACCUCUUUUCUCAAGGAAGAAGAUCUGACGGUACUUGAGGAAUAAGCCACGGCUAAUUCCGUGCCAGCAGCCGCGGUAAU
rnacentral:rRNA from 1 species